GACGUAGGAUGCAAGCGUUGUCCGGAUUCAUUGGGCGUAAAGAGCUCGUAGGCGGCUGCUCAAGUCGAAUGUGAAAACUCGAGGCUCAACCUCGAGCCUGCAUUCGAUACUGGGCGGCUAGAGUCUGGUAGGGGGAUCUGGAAUUCCUGGUGUAGCGGUGGAAUGCGCAGAUAUCAGGAGGAACACCGGUGGCGAAGGCGGCGACCUGGUCCUGGACUGACGCUGAGGCGCGAAAGCGUGGGGAGCAAACAGG
rnacentral:rRNA from 1 species